rnacentral:rRNA from 1 species
UACGUAGGGUGCAAGCGUUGUCCGGAAUUAUUGGGCGUAAAGGGCUCGUAGGCGGUUUGUCGCGUCGGGAGUGAAAACCAGGUGCUUAACACCUGGCUUGCUUUCGAUACGGGCAGACUAGAGGUAUGCAGGGGAGAACGGAAUUCCUGGUGUAGCGGUGAAAUGCGCAGAUAUCAGGAGGAACACCGGUGGCGAAGGCGGUUCUCUGGGACGGUACUGACGCUGAGACGCGAAAGCGUGGGGAGCGAACAGG